GAUAUUUUCUUCUACUUGGUUGGUAAGAAAAGUCAAUAAAGGUGGAAAGGAGAUAAGAACAAGAGAAAAAUCACAAAGUUCAUUCAUCCUUCUUCUUCUCUCUUCUUUGGCCGUGGCAUUUCUUCAUCAUUUCCCUUCCAUCACAAAUUUUCAUUUCUUCACCAAAUUGAUCCAUUAGAAGCUUGUUGGAAUCAUGGGAGUUCAAGGAUCAUCAUCCCUAAGCUAGGGCAAGCAAGAGAGCAAAGCAAGAGGGUGCUAGGGCUUGAGAAAGAGAGGAGCUCAUGAGAGCUAGAACAUGAGGAGCUUGAGAAUUCAUCAAAUUUCUAAGAUAUCCAGGUUGACAGGUUAUAUGUUAGCUUGUCCGAGUAGCGUGGUGAAGCUCCGCUCUGAUUAUGACACGGGGAGAAAAGGGGUUUUGUAUAUAUAUAUAUAUAUAUAUAUAUAUAUAUAUAUAAAUUCCUUUAGAAAAUUACUCUGUAAUUGCUUAUGUUUUCAUAUAAGAAUUAUUCUUUGUGAAAAGUAUUGGUUUUGUAUAACUUAUACCGCAUCGUGUUGAUGCAGAGGAUUUUGUAUUUUGUGAUAUUCAAACCAGCGCUUUAUAAUCAGAUUUUCAA